UGACCUUGACCUUUGACCUUGACCUAAUUUUCUAAGUUAGGACCCAGGGGACUCAAAUAGAAACAUUCCAGGGUUAUACGGUUAACGGUUUAUGAGUUAAAAAAACAUACCGACAAAUUUAUUCUGUAAAGGUAGAUAACUCCUAUAAAAUUUCAUCGAAUCGCUUCGAUCCAAAUUAGCCAAAAAUUCCUGAGGACUUGACGAACAAUGUGUAAAAAGAAUUUUGUCGAUAUCUUUUUUUGUUACGAAGGAGAUGCACACAGAUGAUAAACAGUGAAUAGGGAGAUAACUCUCACAAAGAAAAUGGUUCGGCUUAGCAGGGUGAAAUUUAAAAGCGCA
rnacentral:lncRNA from 1 species